rnacentral:rRNA from 1 species
CCUACGGGAGGCAGCAGUGGGGAAUCUUGCGCAAUGGGCGAAAGCCUGACGCAGCAACGCCGCGUGCGGGAAGAAGGCUUUAGGGUUGUAAACCGCUUUCAGCAGGAACGAAAAUGACGGUACCUGCAGAAGAAGGAGCGGCCAACUACGUGCCAGCAGCCGCGGUGACACGUAGGCUCCAAGCGUUGUCCGGAUUUAUUGGGCGUAAAGAGCUCGUAGGCGGUUGAGUAAGUCGGGUGUGAAAACUCUGGGCUUAACCCGGAGACGCCAUCCGAUACUGCUCUGACUUGAGUUCAGGAGGGGAGUGGGGAAUUCCUAGUGUAGCGGUGAAAUGCGCAGAUAUUAGGAGGAACACCGGUGGCGAAGGCGCCACUCUGGACUGAAACUGACGCUGAGGAGCGAAAGCAUGGGUAGCAAACAGGAUUAGAUACCCUGGUAGUCCAUGCCGUAAACGGUGGGCACUAGGUGUGGGUUCCAACUAACGGGAUCCGCGCCGUCGCUAACGCAUUAAGUGCCCCGCCUGGGGAGUACGGUCGCAAGAUUAAAACUCAAAGGAAUUGACGG